GCCUUCGUGGUGUAAUGGUCAGCACACUUGGCGCGUAUUCGAGAGGUCCGAGGUUCGAGUCCUGGCGAGGGCA
rnacentral:tRNA from 1 species